GGAGUCGGCCAGGCAGUCGCUCUACCUUCGGGUGGGGAGGAAAGUCCGGGCUCCACAGGGCAGAGUGCCAGAUAACGUCUGGGCGGCGUGAGCCGACGGAAAGUGCAGCAGAAAGGAAACCGCCGAUGGUCCGCAAGGACACAGGUAAGGGUGAAAAGGUGCGGUAAGAGCGCACCGCGCGGGUGGCAACACUCCGUGGCGAUGGUAAACCCCACUCGGAGCAAGACCAAAUAGGGGAGCGUUGGUGUGGCCCGCACUGCUCCCGGGUAGGUUGCUACAGGUGUCCGGCGACGGGCAUCGCAGAUGAAUGACUGUCCACGACAGAACCCGGCUUAUCGGCCGACUCCCUCU
rnacentral:RNase_P_RNA from 1 species